rnacentral:siRNA from 1 species
UAUCCAUACUUCUCAUUUGGC